ACGUGCAUAGCUCAACGGAAGAGCAAAAAAGAAGAUACGGGUUCGACUCCCAUUGCACGUA
rnacentral:tRNA from 1 species